rnacentral:rRNA from 1 species
GAUGAACGCUAGCGGCAGGCCUAAUACAUGCAAGUCGGACGGGAUUCAGGAGCUUGCUUCUGAUGAGAGUGGCGCACGGGUGCGUAACACGUAUGUAACCUACCUUUAUCAGGGGGAUAGCCUCUCGAAAGAGAGAUUAAGCCCGCAUAAAAUCACAGCACAGCAUUGUGUAAUGAUCAAAUAUUUAUAGGAUAAAGAUGGGCAUGCGGAACAUUAGCUAGAUGGCGGGGUAACGGCCCACCAUGGCGACGAUGUUUAGGGGAUCUGAGAGGAUGGCCCCCCACACUUGUACUGAGACACGGACCAGACUCCUACGUGAGGCAGCAGUAAGGAAUAGUGGUCAAUGGGCGGGAGCCUGAACCAGCCAUGCCGCGUGCAGGAAGACGGCCCUACGGGUUGUAAACUGCUUUUAUACGGGAAUAAACCCAGAUACGUGUAUCUGGCUGAAUGUACUGUAAGAAUAAGGAUCGGCUAACUCCGUG